AUUGAACGCUGGCGGCAUGCUUUACACAUGCAAGUCGAACGGUAACAGGUUAAGCUGACGAGUGGCGAACGGGUGAGUAAUGCAUCGGAACGUGCCCGAUCGUGGGGGAUAACGCAGCGAAAGCUGCGCUAAUACCGCAUACGAUCUGAGGAUGAAAGCGGGGGACCGUAAGGCCUCGCGCGAUCGGAGCGGCCGAUGUCAGAUUAGGCAGUUGGUGGGGUAAAGGCUCACCAAGCCAACGAUCUGUAGCUGGUCUGAGAGGACGACCAGCCAAACUGGGAAUGGGACACGGCCCAGACUCCUACGGGAGGCAGCAGUGGGGAAUUUUGGACAAUGGGCGCAAGCCUGAUCCAGCAAUGCCGCGUGCAGGAAGAAGGCCUUCGGGUUGUAAACUGCUUUUGUACGGAGCGAAAAGGCUCUCUCUAAUACAGGGGGCUCAUGACGGUACCGUAAGAAUAAGCACCGGCUAACUACGUGCCAGCCGCCGCCGUAA
rnacentral:rRNA from 1 species